rnacentral:rRNA from 1 species
UACGUAGGCAGCAAGCGUUGUUCGGAAUUACUGGGCGUAAAGAGUGUGUAGGCGGUGUUCCAAGUCUGUCGUGAAAUCUCCCGGCUUAACUGGGAGGGUGCGGCGGAAACUGGGAUGCUCGAGGAUGGGAGAGGAAAGCGGAAUUCCUGGUGUAGCGGUGAAAUGCGUAGAUAUCAGGAGGAACACCUGCGGUGUAGACAGCUUUCUGGACCAUUUCUGACGCUGAGACACGAAAGCGUGGGUAGCAAACAGG